CCUACGGGUGGCAGCAGUGAGGAAUAUUGGUCAAUGGGCGCAAGCCUGAACCAGCCAAGUCGCGUGAAGGAUGACUGCCCUACGGGUUGUAAACUUCUUUUAUCAGGGGAUAAAGUGCGGCACGUGUGCCUUUUUGUAUGUACUUUAUGGAUAAGGAUCGGCUAACCCCGUGCCCGCAGCCGCGGUAAUGCGGAGGGUGCGAGCGUUAUCCGGAUUUGUUGGGUUUAAAGGGAGCGGAGGCGGGUUGUUAAGUCAGAUGUGAAAUCACGCGGCUUAACCUGACAAUUGCAUUUGAUACUGGCAGGCUUGAGUACAGUAGAGGUAGGCAGAAUUCGUGGUGUAGCGGUGAAAUGCGUAGAUAUCACGAAGAACGCCGAUUGCGAAGGCAGCGUACUAGA
rnacentral:rRNA from 1 species